rnacentral:rRNA from 1 species
GAUGAACGCUGGCGGCGUGCUUAACACAUGCAAGUCGAACGAUGAAGCCCAGCUUGCUGGGUGGAUUAGUGGCGAACGGGUGAGUAACACGUGAGUAACCUGCCCUUAACUCUGGGAUAAGCCUGGGAAACUGGGUCUAAUACCGGAUAGGAGCGUCCACCGCAUGGUGGGUGUUGGAAAGAUUUAUCGGUUUUGGAUGGACUCGCGGCCUAUCAGCUUGUUGGUGAGGUAAUGGCUCACCAAGGCGACGACGGGUAGCCGGCCUGAGAGGGUGACCGGCCACACUGGGACUGAGACACGGCCCAGACUCCUACGGGAGGCAGCAGUGGGGAAUAUUGCACAAUGGGCGCAAGCCUGAUGCAGCGACGCCGCGUGAGGGAUGACGGCCUUCGGGUUGUAAACCUCUUUCAGUAGGGAAGAAGCUAAAGUGACGGUACCUGCAGAAGAAGCACCGGCUAACUACGUG